UUGGUGUUGUCCCUUCAGUCAGGAGUGAGCCCCUGAUGCUCUGCCCAGGUCACUCCACGAGGAGAGAUCAUGCCAGGUAGUCCCUGAUGGCUCUCCUCCUCAGAGUCCCUGUGACUAAACACCUGAGAAAGUUCUGCUCCUGACUAAUGCUCUACUCCCUUUGCAGUAAAGCACCACAUAAGCUUUUCUUUUUGUGUCUUAAGUGUCCUUGGCAUAAUCUUUGAUUUGAUUUGCUGCACUACUCAGGAGUCUUAUGGAUAAGGAACAAAUUGACAUGAAGAAAGUUGUCACAAAUUCUUGGAUCUCUAAUGUGAAAGAUUGAUACAAUUAAGAUGUUCCUGAAUUUCCAAAAAGUUUAGCGCUAUUAGUGUUAUAACAAAUUAUUAGCUAUUUUUCCCCAAGAAUUCUGAAAUUCUCAAUCCAGGACUGUUUGACACCGAGUAACAACUAACACUGUUUAUGAAGAUUCGAGCAAUAUCGUGGUAUAUAUGAAAAACAUCAUGGUUGGCAACGCUCACACAGUGGGCUCCAUUUUUUAAUUAUCUGGAUUGUUCCUUUUGAGGAAAUCAUCAUAGACCAUUUGGAGUCCUAAGGCAUCAUCUGAAAAAAAGGCAAAUGAUCACCUCCCAGAUAUCUGCUCUAUUGAAGGGCUCUCAAACCAUCAAUGCACUUGUCCAUCAGAAAGAUUGGCUCCAGACUGCUCAGUCUACUCCUAUAGAAAUAUUUAGAUAAUCCUGUUUUCACACCCAUGCUGCUGGAAAUAAAGAAUUUUGAGAUGAUGGUGUGCCAUGAUAAAGAAAUUUGACACCUUCAGUCAACUGGUCAGAAGAGAGACAGACGUCCAAAAGGAUUCAUCUCAAAUAAACAAGAUUGUGACUGGAAUGAGACA